ensembl:lncRNA
AUGAAACUGACCAGGAACAGUAAAAUUUCUGAUGGAUAUAACUGGGUGUGCAGAUCUAAAAAAAUCAUCGUGGAGUUAAAAAGCAGCCGAUCUGUAAGGACAGGAUCUUUAUUUGAAAAAUCAAAAAUAAGCUUGCCAUCAUGGUUAACAUUUAUUUACAGGUUCUCUCAAGGAUUGCACCUGAGACAGAUAGACAUGAUGCAGGACAGGAUUGCUAGAAGUUCUAAAACUCUCUCCAGAAUGGCUAAGGUCCUGAGAAAGAUCUGUACCAAGGCUAUGAAAGAGUACCAAAAAAGAAGAAGGCAGCAGAUGGGAGGUCAACAAGAAUUUGUUGUUAUUGAUGAAA